rnacentral:rRNA from 1 species
CCUACGGGCGGCAGCAGUGAGGAAUAUUGGUCAAUGGGCGAGAGCCUGAACCAGCCAAGUCGCGUGGGGGAGUACUGCCCUAUGGGUUGUAAACCUCUUUUGUCGGGGAGCAAAAGCCGGACGUGUCCGGCUGUGAGAGUACCCGAAGAAAAAGCAUCGGCUAACUCCGUGCGAGCAGCCGCGGUAAUACGGGGGAUGCGGGCGUUAUCCGGUUUUCUUGGGGUUAAAGGGUGCGCAGGCGGAAUUUUAAGUCAGCGGUCAAGUCCUGGGGCUCAACCCCAUCCAGCCGUUGAAACUGGGGAUCUAGAGUGUGCGAGAGGUAUGCGGAAUGCGUGGUGUAGCGGUGAAAUGCAUAGAUAUCACGCAGAACCCCGAUUGCGAAGGCAGCAUACCGGUGCACAACUGACGCUCAGGCACGAAGGCGUGGGUAUCGAACAGGAUUAGAUACCCCGGUAGUC